rnacentral:lncRNA from 1 species
ACGAACACUAGGUCUGUCCCUUGUCAUAGGCAUACACUUUACUUUAGCCGUCCUCGUGACCGGAUCACCAGUUUUCGGAAGACUGGGAAUAAAAAGGACAAGCCCCUGAUUCAGCACUCCACAGACCCCCUGUCCACUCAGGUAGAGAUGCCCAUGCCCCAGCCCCUCUUCGACGACCGCUCCAUGAACCUCUCCGAGAAGGAGAUCAAUGACCUCUUUGAGAAGAUGAUGGAGGACAUGAACCUGAAUGAGGAGCGUAAAGCCCCCCUGCGUGGGAAGGACCUGAGCACCAAGCGAGAGAUGGUUGUCCAGUACAUCUCUGCCACCGCUAAAUCUGGAGGACUGAGGAACAGCAAGCAUGAGUGUACACUAUCAUCACAGGAGUAUGUCCACGAGCUGCGCUCUGGCAUCACUGAUGACAAGCUGCUGAUCUGCCUGGAGUCCCUUCGUGUCUCUCUCACCAGUAACCCUGUCAGCUGGGUGAACAACUUUGGCCAUGAAGGACUGGGCCUCCUCUUGGAUGCAUUGGAUAAGUUGCUGGAUAAGAAACAGCCAGAAAGUAUAGACAAAAGGAACCAGCACAAGCUGAUCCAGUGUCUCAAGGCCUUCAUGAACAAUAAGUAUGGACUGCAAAGGAUUCUGGGAGAUGAGCGAAGCUUGCUUCUCCUGGCCAGGGCCAUUGACCCAAAACAGACCAGUAUGAUGACAGAGAUCGUCAAGAUCCUCUCAGCUAUCUGCAUCAUUGGAGAGGAAAACAUCCUGGAUAAGAUCCUGGCUGCCAUGACGAUUGCGGCGGAGAGGAAUAACAAGGAGAGAUUUUCUCCGAUAGUGGAGGGACUGGAGAAUCACGAGGCCCAACAGCUCCAGGUGGCCUGCAUGCAGCUGAUCAACGCUCUGGUCACCUCUCCAGACGAUCUGGACUUCAGGAUACAUCUGCGCAACGAGUUCCUCCGCUGUGGCCUCAAGAAGAUCCUCCCGGAGCUGAAAGAGACAGAGGAGCUGGACAUCCAACUGAAGGUGUUCAACGAGAACAAGGAGGAGGACUCCAUUGAGGUCUCCCAUCGCCUCGAUGACAUCCGCGCCGAGAUGGAAUAUCCUUUUGUGUACCAUCUCCUGUCCAACAUGGUGAAAGACACCGGGUCGGAGACCUACUUCCUGUCCAUCCUACAGCACCUCCUGCUCAUCAGGAACGACUACUACAUCAGGCCCCAGUACUACAAGGUCAUAGAGGAAUGUGUGUCUCAGGUGGUUCUCCAUCGCAGCGGGAUGGACCCAGACUUCGGAUACAGAGAGAGACUGGAUGUAGACUUCACCCACCUCAUUGAUCAGUGCGUGGAUAAAGCCAAAGUGGAUGAGAGCGAACUGAAGGCUGCUGAGUUCUCCAAAAAGGUGAGGUAUAGUGCAUCAUUCCCCUCAACUCCAUUGGUAUGCCACCACCACGCUCCCAUCAGAAAUGUGUGUGUCCGUCGUGUCGUCACCCCCCCCAGAGCUCCUGGUCCCAUAGUGCCUCAGGAAAUGGCGGAGAAUUGCUUCUGGAUCAAAGUCAAAGAGGAGAAGUUUGAGAAUCAAGAAUUCUUUGAACAGCUCUCCCUCAGCUUUUCCUCCAGGACCAAAGUGAAAAAUGAGGUGGAUGAGACAGACGCCAGGGUGACGCAAUUCAAGAAAAAGGCGAAGGAGCUGCGAAUCUUGGACGCAAAGACGGCACAGAAUUUGUCAAUUUUCCUGGGCUCAUUCCGGCUGCCUUAUGAAGAGAUCCGGGACAUUGUGCUGGAGGUGGACGAGGGGAGGCUGAGCGAAUCACUGAUCCAGAACCUGAUAAAGAACCUACCAGAACAGAAGGAGCUGAGCGCUCUGGCAGAACUGAAGAAUGAGUACGAGGAACUAUGUGAGCCUGAACAGUUUGGCAUUGUGAUGAGCUCUGUGAAGCUGCUGCGCUCACGCCUCAACGGAAUCCUUUUCAAGCUGACCUUCGAGGAGCAGGUGAACAACAUCCGUCCAGACAUCAUGAAUGUGACGUUCGCCUGCGAGGAGGUGAAGAAGAGUGACAGCUUCAGCAAGCUGCUGGAGAUGGUAUUGCUGGUGGGCAACUACAUGAACGCUGGCUCCCGGAAUGCCCAGACCUUUGGCUUCAACAUCAGCUUCCUCUGCAAGCUUCGAGACACUAAGUCGGCCGACCAAAACACAACGCUGCUCCACUUCCUGGCUGAGAAGUGUGAAGAAAAGUACCCGGAGAUCCUGAGGUUCCCUGAAGAGCUGCAGCACGUGGAGAGUGCUAGCAAAGUUUCUGCCGAGAUCCUGAAGAGCAGUCUCAGCACCAUGGAGAGACACAUCCAGAGGCUAGAAAAUGACAUUGAGAACUUCCCAAAGACGGACGACAAAAAGGAUAAGUUUGUGGAAAAAUUAUCCAUAUCCUUUUCAUGCUUUUUAUUAAUUUCUCACAUUGUCUUAAAUGAACGUAUCGCUGAAGUAGAAAGUAGACAUGUUUUGGCCAUUUGCCGCCUGUGGAUUGUCCACCAGAGAGACUGUGCUGUGCUUGUGUUCUCCCGGGCAGGAAAGAGUAGUUAACGGCCAUAAGUGUGGCUUGUGGCACCCGUGGGCUUAAAGGAAUGGAUAUGGCUGCCUUCCCACUAGUGAGAUGUUUAUCAGAUCUCCUCCUCCUCUACCCAACGUUCCCCAGAGAGAGUUCAGGCCUUGAGCUAUUUUUACCGCUGCUCCACCACUGCCUCCCCUCGGGGUCUCUAAUGAGGGCUCGUUCCCCCACGCGGACUUAUCGCCCACCUCCUGAUUUCAUCUCCCAACCAGCCACAGGCCUCUCCACAUAGACUUUCUGUGGACUAUCACCUUGUGCGGCUCUUCUCUCGUUUUGAUAACAGAGUGCUUUCACUUAAACUCAAGCGGUUCGGCUCUCGAAUCAAAUUAGUGAUGCCUGAGCACUUCUCAGACUCCAUUUUAAGGAGGAAGGAGCCUCGGCAGAAUAGGUUUGUCUAGUAAUCUGGCACCUACAGUACAGACACUACAGUAUAUAGAGUCUCAUUGGUUGAAACCAACUCGGAUGGCAAUAGCUAGGGGCUAUGAUACCUCCUAUCAAUAUAUUUGUAUUAAAACAGACAGCAUUCCUCUGUUUUUUUUUAAAUGGAACCUUUAUUUAACUAAGCAAGUCAGUUAAGAACAAAUUCUUAUUUACAAUGAUGGCUUACCUUGUUCAGGGGCAGAACGACAGAUUUUUACCUUGCGCUCUAACCACUAGGCUACCUGUCUUUAGGUGUGCGUUACCACAUUUAAUAAGGGAAAGCAAGAAUCAUUCAAGGGUAAUUCAUCAAUUCAGGAGGCAUUCCAUAUGUUCAACACUCACACUUGAAGACAUGUUCCGGAACUUUAGCUGCUACUAAGUAUUUUUUAAACCUCCCGCUUUGGGCUGGAUGUGUCAAUGUGUAGUUCAUACAUGCAUAAUCUAUGACCAGAUUUACUUUAUAUCCUAAAUUAGCCAGCAAAUCCUUAGUUUGAAAGCAACAGUUUUACUGGAAGCUGUGCUUGCCCGCACAUGGGCCAGCCCCCUAACAAUUUGACCAUGAGCUUCAGCCCCUUGCUAUAUGUGUGACAGCUAGCAAGGUGCACAUGAUGCACCCACACCACACCCGAGCAGAGAGAGAGAACAGAGUGGUGCACAUAUCUGUUCAAGUUUCAGGGACCCCUUGAGCGCUACUUUCAAAACUACUGGCUAAAAAGUACACACAAUUUCCGGAGAAUCCCUUUAAGAAAGUGUUUAACCUUAAUUUGAGCUCUUUGUUAGCUUGCAAUUUUUUUUUAGCUUUUAGCUGACAUAAGAGUUAUAGCUGCCUAACACAUCAGAAAUCUGCUCCUAGGCAAAGAUUGGCACUUAAUCUGUGUACAUUUUAUAUCUUUAAAAAAUAGAGGCUUCGGCAAAAACCUCCCCUGCAGCUCUGAACCAAGACAGGGAGGAAAGGCAGCUCAGGGCCCCUGAUGUCUGUAUCGAUUCUGGGGCUCCAUGGAGGAUGUCGGCUUGACUGAGAGGAAAUGGAGAGCUGCAUAUAUACUGGAGUAGUGCUCCCCCUCACUGUCUGAAUCGUGUCCCCAGAGAGUGAGAGGGAGAGAAGCUGCCUGGCCAUGAAUGGAAACGCCCCACUUCCCCGUCUCACCUGAUCUGGCAUCAGAGCUGAAAUGGAGCCUCAGUCGUAUUUGGCCGAACCAAUUUUAGUUAAUGCCUCAUUGUGAAAAAAGCAAAGACAAACAUUUAAAAAUGGUUUUUUUACCUCCAUUUUGUAGUCUUCCAACCUCCUUCCACUCUGUGUUCAGCCAGGUUAAGGGUGACACAGCUGCACUCACUCCUUUGCGCGUGACAGAGUAGGCAUUCUUACCUUACUAUAGAAAGCCAGAAAGAUGUUUUACUGUCCCUUUAUGGCGCCCACGAUCGAUGAGGGGAGUCGAGGUGAUUCAAGUGGUAAGGUGGAGAGUGUAUCGGUGUCUAUCAGACCUCUCUCAUGCUGUCUGUGUCUGUCUCUCCCCGUUAGUAAUCACCUCUCUCUGUGUCUCUGUCUCUCCCCGUCAGCAAUCACCUCUCUCUGCGUCUCUGUCUCUCCCAGUUAGCAAUCCCCUCUCUGUGUCUCUGUCUCUCCCCGAUAGCAAUCACGUCUCUCUGCGUCUCCCCGUUAACAAUCACCUCUCUCAUGCUGUCUGUGUCUCUGUCUCUCCCCGUUUGCAAUCACCUCUCUCUGGGUCUCUUCCCGUUAGUUAACCCCUCUCUCUGUGUCUUUGUCUCUCCCUGUUUGCAAUCACCUCUCUCUGUGUCUCUCUCUCCCUGUUCGCAAUCACUUCUCUCAUGCUGUCUGUGUCUCUGUCUCUCCUCGUUAGUAAACACCUCUCUCUGUGUCUCUGUCUCUCCCCAUUAGCAAUCACCUUUCUCUGCAUCUCUGUCUCUCCCCGUUAGCAAUCACCUGUCUCUGCGUCUCUGUCUCUCCCCGUUAGCAAUCACCUGUCUCUGCGUCUCUGUCUCUCCCCGUUAGCAAUCACCUCUCUCUGCGUCUCUGUCUCUCCUUGUUAGCAAUCACCUCUCUCUGUGUCUUUGUCUCUCCCUGUUAGCGAUCACCUCUCUGUGUCUUUGUCUCUCCCCGUUAGCAAUCACCUCUCUCUGUGUCUUUGUCUCUCCCCGUUAGCAAUCACCUCUCUCUGUGUCUCUGUCUCUCCCUGUUCGCAAUCACUUCUCUCAGGCUGUCUGUGUCUCUGUCUCUCCUCAUUAGUAAACACCUGGAGAGCGUAUCGGUGUCUAUCAGACCUCUCUCAUGCUGUCUGUGUCUGUCUCUCCCCGUUAGUAAACACCCCUCUCUGUGUCUCUGUCUCUCCCCGUUAGCAAUCACCUCUCUCUGUGUCUUUGUAUCUCCCUGCUCGCAAUCACCUCUCUCUGCGUCUCUGUCUCUCCCCGUUAGCAAUCACCUCUCUCUGUGUCUUUGUCUCUCCCCGUUAGCAAUCACCUCUCUCAUGCUGUCUCUGUCUCUGUCUCUCCUCAUUAGUAAACACCUGUCUCUGUGUCUUUGUCUCUCCCCGUUAGCAAUCACCUCUCUCUGUGUCUUUGUCUCUCCCCAUUAGCAAUCACCUCUCUUUCUCUCACUCACUAGAGUGGGUUUGACCUGCGUGUGACCUUUUUCUUGGUAAUGAAGUAAUGCAGUUCAUCUGCUAGUCAAAAUAACAAGGUGUUUGGUAAACAUGGCUCUUCUGUGACCCUGCUCGAAUCAAUUCACAUGAUUAGGCAUCAAGGGUAAUUCGCAAGUUUUCUAAAUAAAAUAUGCUGUGUGUUCGGACUUGAAUUUCUU